rnacentral:rRNA from 1 species
AUUGAACGCUGGCGGAAUGCUUUACACAUGCAAGUCGAGCGGCAGCGCGGCCUUCGGGCUGGCGGCGAGCGGCGAACGGGUGAGUAAUGCAUCGGAACAUGCCCAGUCGUGGGGGAUAACACUUCGAAAGAAGUGCUAAUACCGCAUACGUCCUGAGGGGGAAAGCGGGGGAUCGCAAGACCUCGCGCGAUUGGAGUGGCCGAUGUCAGAUUAGCUAGUUGGUGGGGUAAAGGCCUACCAAGGCGACGAUCUGUAGCUGGUCUGAGAGGAUGAUCAGCCACACUGGGACUGAGACACGGCCCCGACUCCUACGGGAGGCAGCAGUGGGGAAUUUUGGACAAUGGGGGCAACCCUGAUCCAGCCAUUCCGCGUGAGUGAAGAAGGCCUUCGGGUUGUAAAGCUCUUUCGGCAGGAACGAAACGGUGGGCUCUAACAUAGUCCGCUAAUGACGGUACCUGAAGAAGAAGCACCGGCUAACUACGUG